rnacentral:rRNA from 1 species
GUGGGGAAUAUUGGACAAUGGGCGCAAGCCUGAUCCAGCCAUACCGCGUGGGUGAAGAAGGCCUUCGGGUUGUAAAGCCCUUUUGUUGGGAAAGAAAUCCUGUCGAUUAAUACUCGGUGGGGAUGACGGUACCCAAAGAAUAAGCACCGGCUAACUUCGUGCCAGCAGCCGCGGUAAUACGAAGGGUGCAAGCGUUACUCGGAAUUACUGGGCGUAAAGCGUGCGUAGGUGGUGGUUUAAGUCUGCUGUGAAAGCCCUGGGCUCAACCUGGGAAUUGCAGUGGAUACUGGAUCACUAGAGUGUGGUAGAGGGAUGCGGAAUUUCUGGUGUAGCAGUGAAAUGCGUAGAGAUCAGAAGGAACAUCCGUGGCGAAGGCGGCAUCCUGGGCCAACACUGACACUGAGGCACGAAAGCGUGGGGAGCAAACAGGAUUAGAAACCCGGGUAGUCC